GCUUUUCCAUUACUAAGAAAUGACAGAACCAAGGAAGGAAGGAAGAAAGAAAAAAGAAGGAAAGAAAGAAGAAAAGAAAACAAAAAAAAGUAAGAAAGAAAAAAAGGGAGAACAAGAAAAAGGAAAGAUGAAAAUUGAUUGCAAAAUGAGACAGAUACACAAAUAGUAAAGCAAAUGUAAGGAAGAAAUACGAUGAGAUUAAGAGAGUUAAUAUUAUAUUGAAAAACACAUUUGUUAAUUUCUUUAUACAUGUCUUAUUUUCCUAACCACUUUAUAUUGAGGCAAUUAGUGUCCUUUUCCUUGACUGAUGUUUAUAUUUCUCCUUUUGAGGAAAGACAUAAAGAGAUUAAUGAAAAAGAAGAAAAGUUAUUUGUUUUCACUUUUACUAUGAGAUAAUGGGUACUGUAUGCUUGAAAGUGAAGGAAGGGGUCUGUAGUUACACUCUUAUUUCUUACAUUUGUUUUUAAUAUCUUUCUGUAUUUAUAGAUUUCUUUAAUAUAUGCGUUACCUUUUCACUGGCAAUCUCCUUUGCUGUCUUGCUGUCUCCUUUGCUCUCAGUGAUCUUGCUGUCUCCUUUGCUAUCAGUGAAGUUGCUAGAGGUGCUGGUCAUCGAGAACCUUUGUCCUUAUCAUCUUUUCUUUUAAUAUCACUGAAGGAGGCUUCUCAGUGUGCUUGGCAAGUUAAUAUUUUGAAACAGAAAUUGUUUAUUCCUUAUACUUGGAUAUCAAAUGAAGACCAACCACCACGACUCUGUUGCAGUUGCAGCUACAGCUUUAAUGAGCUCAAAAAACACCAUUUCCUCACCUUUUCCCUUUGCUCUCUUGAGUCUUAGAUCCCAGUGCUUUGCCAUGUGCAUAAUGUUGAAAAACCAUGAGCUUAAUUGAGCUCCAAAUUCCUACUGUAUAAGUGCAUCUACUUCAUAGUGGUUUUGAUUUACAUUUCUCUGGUUAGAGAUGUUGAACACCUUCUCAUGUACCUGUUGCAUCUUUGUAGCUCUUCUUAGGGAAAUGUCUAUUCAAAAAUGUUGAUCUGUUGCCCACUUUUUAAUCAGAUUCUUUUUUGUUUUGUUUUGUUUUGCUAUUCAGUUGCAGGAGUUCCUAUAGUUAGCAAUAUGGUGUCCUGACACACACACACAAAGGAAGAACAGCAAGGGGAUUCUUAGAGGUGUUGGAUAUGUUUGUUAUCCAGAGAUAUGUUGGUAACAAUAGAGUAACAUAUUAGUGAAAUAAUUAUAUUCAGUAGCUAUAUUGAGAUUUGGGGAAUUUUAAUUUAAGAUGCAUAUUUCACAGUAUGGAAAGCGAGCGCUGUUUUAUUAUUAUUUUUAACUUAACCACAGAUCCAACUUUUCUGUCACUGGUUACUAAGCAAACAAAAUGAUACCAACUUUGUGGUAUCUAUCUGUGUCACUUUGACAGUGUCUCUGAAAACAUGAAAUGUUUAAACAUGACAUUUGUAUUUCAGAAAAUUUUUCAUACUGAAUGUGAAUAGAAAAAAGAUGAAUAAAUUCACAAUAUUGACUUACA
rnacentral:lncRNA from 12 species